AUUGAACGCUGGCGGCAUGCCUUACACAUGCAAGUCGAACGGCAGCACGGGAGCAAUCCUGGUGGCGAGUGGCGAACGGGUGAGUAAAGUAUCGGAACGUGCCCAGUCGUGGGGGAUAACGUAGCGAAAGUUACGCUAAUACCGCAUACGAGCUAUGGAUGAAAGCGGGGGAUCGCGAGACCUCGCGCGAUUGGAGCGGCCGAUAGCAGAUUAGGUAGUUGGUGGGGUAAAGGCGCACCAAGCCGACGAUCUGUAGCUGGUCUGAGAGGACGACCAGCCACACUGGGACUGAGACACGGCCCAGACUCCUACGGGAGGCAGCAGUGGGGAAUUUUGGACAAUGGGCGAAAGCCUGAUCCAGCCAUGCCGCGUGCAGGAUGAAGGCCUUCGGGUUGUAAACUGCUUUUGUACGGAACGAAAAGGUUUGGCCUAAUAAGCUGAGCUCAUGACGGUACCGUAAGAAUAAGCACCGGCUAACUACGUGCCAGCCGCCGCCGUAA
rnacentral:rRNA from 1 species